CGUAGGGGGCUAGCGUUGUCCGGAAUCAUUGGGCGUAAAGCGCGUGUAGGCGGCCCGGUAAGUCCGCUGUGAAAGUCGGGGGCUCAACCCUCGAAAGCCGGUGGAUACUGUCGGGCUAGAGUACGGAAGAGGCGAGUGGAAUUCCUGGUGUAGCGGUGAAAUGCGCAGAUAUCAGGAGGAACACCGAUUGCGAAGGCAGCUCGCUGGGACGUUACUGACGCUGAGACGCGAAAGCGUGGGGAGCAAACAGGAUUAGAUACCCUGGUAGUCCACGCUGUAAACGAUGGGCACUAGGUGUGGGGGGUGUCGACUCCCUCCGUGCCGAAGCUAACGCAUUAAGUGCCCCGCCUGGGGAGUACGGCCGCAAGGCUA
rnacentral:rRNA from 1 species